rnacentral:rRNA from 1 species
UGGGGAAUUUUGGACAAUGGGCGAAAGCCUGAUCCAGCAAUGCCGCGUGUGUGAAGAAGGCCUUCGGGUUGUAAGCACUUUUGUCCGGAAAGAAAUCCUUGGCUCUAAUACAGUCGGGGGAUGACGGUACCGGAAGAAUAAGCACCGGCUAACUACGUGCCAGCAGCCGCGGUAAUACGUAGGGUGCAAGCGUUAAUCGGAAUUACUGGGCGUAAAGCGUGCGCAGGCGGUUUGCUAAGACCGAUGUGAAAUCCCCGGGCUCAACCUGGGAACUGCAUUGGUGACUGGCAGGCUAGAGUAUGGCAGAGGGGGGUAGAAUUCCACGUGUAGCAGUGAAAUGCGUAGAGAUGUGGAGGAAUACCGAUGGCGAAGGCAGCCCCCUGGGCCAAUACUGACGCUCAUGCACGAAAGCGUGGGGAGCAAACAGGAUUAGAUACCCUGGUAGUCCACGCCCUAAACGAUGUCAACUAGUUGUUGGGGAUUCAUUUCCUUAGUAACGUAGCUAACGCGUGAAGUUGACCGCCUGGGGAGUACGGUCGCAAGAUUAAAACUCAAAGGAAUUGACGGGGUCAUAGCUG